rnacentral:lncRNA from 1 species
GGACCUCUAUAGCAAAAAGUCUCAAAUGAUUUUAGUGAGAUGAUCACUCUGGGGGACAAAAGUCCCAAAGGACUGCCUGCUUUUGGGCUUUUGAUUCUGCUUAUAAUUCUCAUCUGAAAUAAUUAGACUAGGCUUUUUAUGAACUGCCAGGGAGAUGGGUGACAAACUUGAUUAUUUCAAGCUGAGCAAUGAUUCAUGUGACAAAGAAAACUAUAAUGAUGGUACAAACAUGAACCCUGCAAUAGACCAAUUAACGUUCCUUGGACACCUGUGGGGCUCAUGGUUAGCCAAGAGUGCUUCUGGAGCAUCCCCAUGGUUGACACCAAACAAAAUGGACUGAAGUGUGGAGCUUCAGCCAUGGCAAGUGAUGAAGAGUAGAUAUGGCCUUAAUAAUUGCACCUUAGAUUUCCCUGACAUAGGGUCAGAACCUUUAUUGCUGAGAUAGGUGACAAGCUCAUUAUGCAUAAUGAACAUGUAGGAAUCAAGGCCUCAAAGCAUUAUGCCCAUGUGGGAUUUUGAAUAAAACUAAUGCCAUUGCACUUAACAUGAGUAUAUUCAAUUAAAUCGUAAAGAGUUUGAUGAGGUAAGAUAGAGAACAAACAAAAUGGGGGAAAACACACCCUAAAUGUUAUUUAAAAAUAAAUAGUUGUAAAAUACACCCAAUACAACCUGAAUUUAAAGACAUUAAUGUGCUGAAAAACAUUUAUCUCCAAAAUGUACUUUGCAUAACACAAUACAAUAAAAAGUUGUAAAAUAGCCAGCAUCUUUACUUACACCCAGAAGCUUAGUAUGGUCACACAAUACACACACUUCUGAUAAACUUAAAUCUUAUUUACCCCCUCAUUUAGUGAAGCCUCCCACUUUAUUAGUAUUCACUUUUGACAAAUUCAUGAAGCAAGUAGCUAACUCCUCCAGUUGUACCACAUCACUCACUAUUGGAUCUGAACACGCAAUUUUUUUUCCAUUUAGAUUUUCUUAGACUUAGCUUUGGUCUUAUAAGCUUGUCUUAUCUUUCAGACAAAUUUUUGCUGUGCUGGGUCUACUUGUCCGAAUAAGUUUUCUCUGUGUUCACUUGGUUCUUCAUUCAAUUUAACCAAAUUGAUCAGUUACUCUAGCAUUAUUUUGUUGAGUAAAACGUUUGGAUUAUAGCUCCAAGUAUGCCACACAAUAAAAAUGAUGACACUCAUCUGUCCUAUUGCCUGAGACUUUUAGUAGUUGAAUAAAUUUAAGAUAAUUAAUGCUAUCUUAACCAGCCAACUAAUAAAUGAACACAAUUCAAUGGACUAAGUCACUUUGAAUUACAUAGGCAUACAAGAUACAAAUUCAAUUAUCUUCUGCAUCUCCUCCUCUUCAAAGCCUGCAUAUAAUCUUUGUGAGCAGAGAUGGUACAAAAGGGGGAUGGUACAAAAAUGUGUCAACACUCAAGUAUUAAGAAAUAACGCUGGGAAACUGCGACAGUAAACACUUGUGUGUCUUCAGAAGGUGGAUACAGACAAGUAUGAAAAAUAAUUUAAGAACAAGAGCAAUGGACAAAUCUGCAAAGCUUUUUUGAGUAUUCAUUAAAACAACGUCAGCAAAACACUUAACAGAAAUUCUCAAUCCCAGUGUAUUAUUAGUGUUAUGAAAAUAAAAACGGUACUUAAAAAAAACAGUGUUUCUAAUUGUACUUUUGUAAAUAGUGAUGUAUUCUAGAAAAAUAUAAACGUUAUACAAAUAUAACUGUAAAAUUUUAAGUACACUGAGCAACAUAGAGUUUAGACAUUGUGUAGUUUUAUAAAUUGUCUGCUUCUUGUGAUAAGCUAAAUCUUUUUUCUUGUCUGUUGAGAGUAUCUGUCCUGUCUAAAAAGUAGGAUAAUUAUUUAGCU